UACAGAUUUUUCUAUCAGAUGAGACGAAUCCGGAGACGAACUAUGGCGAUUCACCGAGCUGAUAUACCUUCUGAACAUGCAUUUGGUAUCUCAGCAGGAUUUUCCGCGAGUAAUCGUAACUUUUUGGAGCCUUGUGCACAGGAAGAAGACUAUAAAAAAUGGCAGACCAGAGACCCCUUUUUCCUGCCUAGCUAAUGGCCAUCAUUAGCCAUCCACUAAGCAUGAUUAAGUAGGUCGGAAAAUGACUUGAAGAGGAGUGUGGAUCCUUGAGGAGAUCCUUGGAAAGGGAUUUGACACGACUGACACAGUGCCACUUUUGCAUUUCUCACCAAAUUGCUAAUCAUCGCCCACUUUUAUCUCAAGGUAAUCUUAAACUAAGGAUCUAUCUCUCUUUUCCUGUAUUUGAUCAAUUAUGUUGUGUAUUAAAUUUAUUACUAACUAUGUAUUCACAUAGUACAUAUUUAGGUGACUAUCCAUCAAAAAUGAAAUAGCUAACAUCAUUUCAAUUCAUUAGAUCAUUUGGUUUGAUAGAUGAUAUAUGGUAGAUUAAAUAAAUAACACAAUUUUAAGGUGAUAAAUAUUCAUAUGAUUGCAAGAUUAGAGUGCGAGACGC